GAGUGAUGAUGACCUGAUUGAACAUCGGCGUCAUCUCGAACCUCCAUCAUUAUUUCUUAUUUCUCCCCCUGUUGAUUAAUAACAGACAAACGAAUACAGGUUAGAGAGAGAAGAAUAACAGACAAACGAAUACAGGUUAGAGAGAGAAGAGAUGAGAGAGAAAGAGAGAGGAGAGAGAGAGAGAGAGGAGAUUGAGAAUUGGUUGCACGAGUGCUCUUGGCUUGGGUGGGGCCCGCAUCACCC
rnacentral:lncRNA from 1 species